ACUCAAAGGAAUUGACGGGGGCCCGCACAAGCGGUGGAGCAUGUGGUUUAAUUCGACGCAACGCGAAGAACCUUACCAAGGCUUGACAUGGGACAGACCGUACGAGAGAUCGUGCUUCUCCAGCAAUGGAGCUGUCCACACAGGUGCUGCAUGGCUGUCGUCAGCUCGUGUCGUGAGAUGUUGGGUUAAGUCCCGCAACGAGCGCAACCCCCGUUUCUAGUUGCCAUCAUUCAGUUGGGCCCUCUAGAGAGACUGCCGCGAAUAACGCGGAGGAAGGUGGGGACGACGUCAAGUCAUCAUGGCCCUUACGUCUUGGGCUACACACGUGCUACAAUGGGCGUUACAAAGGGUCGCAAGAGCGCAAGCUGGAGCCAAUCCCCAAAAGCGCCCUCAGUUCAGAUUGAGGUCUGCAACUCGACCUCAUGAAGGUGGAAUCGCUAGUAAUCGCGGAUCAGAACGCCGCGGUGAAUACGUUCCCGGGCCUUGUACACACCGCCCGU
rnacentral:rRNA from 1 species